GCGGUCCGGCCGGGAACUCAAAGGAGACUGCCAGUGAUAAACUGGAGGAAGGUGGGGAUGACGUCAAGUCAUCAUGGCCCUUACGACCAGGGCUACACACGUGCUACAAUGGCGCAUACAAAGAGAAGCGACCUCGCGAGAGCAAGCGGACCUCAUAAAGUGCGUCGUAGUCCGGAUUGGAGUCUGCAACUCGACUCCAUGAAGUCGGAAUCGCUAGUAAUCGUGGAUCAGAAUGCCACGGUGAAUACGUUCCCGGGCCUUGUACACACCGCCCGUCACACCAUGGGAGUGGGUUGCAAAAGAAGUAGGUAGCUUAACCUUCGGGAGGGCGCUUACCACUUUGUGAUUCAUGACUGGGGUGAAGUCGUAACAAGGUAACCGUAGGGGAACCUGCGGUU
rnacentral:rRNA from 1 species